rnacentral:rRNA from 1 species
AUACGGAGGGUGCAAGCGUUAAUCGGAAUUACUGGGCGUAAAGCGCGCGUAGGCGGUUUGUUAAGUCGGAUGUGAAAGCCCUGGGCUCAACCUGGGAACUGCAUUCGAAACUGGCACACUAGAGUAUGGGAGAGGUAAGUGGAAUUCAGGGUGUAGCGGUGAAAUGCGUAGAUAUCCUGAGGAACAUCAGUGGCGAAGGCGACUUACUGGACCAAUACUGACGCUGAGGUGCGAAAGCGUGGGGAGCAAACAGGAUUAGAAACCCCAGUAGUCC